CAAACUCCACACAGAAAGGCCGGGGCAACCAGGGUUUGAACCCACGACCUUCUUGCUGUGAGGCGACAGUGACAAAACAGCAGUUUCAUUUUUGUGGGUUGUUUUCAGUCAUUAAUUCAGCUUUGUAGCAGAGCGUUCAGCGCAGUGAAACCAACGCAGCAGCUGGUUUAUAAAUCCAGCGCCUGGAGAAAAAAAACUGCACAGUGUCAGUGGUUAUUAAAACACAUUAGGAGAAUAUCUGAAACACUUUUUCCCCUCCAUUCUGAUAAUUUUGCUGCUGGUGAUUUUCCUUUGGCGCUCGCUAAAACCUCUUUGGGGGGCGCCAAAAAUUUCUCUAUGCAGGAAAUACCCUGCAGAUGAGACGCUGUGGCGCGGUGAGCUGCUCAACAUGAUCGUAGCUGUCAUCAACUCCACACAGGAGCUGAUGUGUCACCAAUGAUGGGGAACCUGGUGGUGUUCAGGAAGGACUCUGUGCUCAACGUCCUCAGCGAGACACUCUCAGAGGACACCUGUCCUCGCGUCGUCUUCGUCUUCAUGUGUCUACCUGUCCUUGCGUUUUUGUGUGUCCACAGUUUAGUCUCUAGACUUGGAGACCUUCGAGAAGUACAGCACUUGGCAGCUGUUCCUGGCUCACAGCAUCCCCCUGGAGACCAUCAUCCCCAUCCUGCAGCACCUUAUAUAUAAAGGCCCAGAUGGCCCUGAGUCGUCCCUGUCACCCCAAGGACCAGUUCAGCACCAGCAUCAUGAGACAGUGGGCGUCCAAUCACGACAACACACUGGGAGAAUGCAUCAAGGCCCAGCUUAUCAAGAACAACAACCAGCCCCGCAAGAGACACAGGUGAAGAAAGAAAGAACGGAUGGACAGAUGAGGACGGACUGAGACAGGUGAGAACAGAGGACAGACAGGUGAGGACAGAUUGAGACAGGGGUGAGGACAGACCAGACGGACAAGUGAGGAUUGAGACAAGUGAGGACAGAGGAGGACGGACUGAGACAGGUGAGGGCUUAAGUUGCCUUAAGUCUCUUUCGGAUUGUACCACGGAUAUAAAACGGAUUUAUUCUUCAGUUAUGGGGAAGUGCAGCCUUAUCGGUUCUUGGAUGGAAAAACAGAUCUUGGGGCUUAACACAAGUUUCUAGCAAUGUAUUUGAAGCCUAACGUCAACGCAUGGCCCUCUCCUCGUUCUUGAAAGGAUAAGCGAAAUGUUAGUGGCAGAAAGUGACGUUGAAAGUUAUUGGAGGAUAAGAUCAGCAUUAAGUUGUCAGGUUACAUCUGUCCUCUACUGUACAUCUUGAUAGUUAAAUUAAAAAGAGGACGGUGUUGACCACAGAGGAGUUGAGGUUAGUAAUGUUAAAGCAAAUUAUUGAUGCAAAUUAAUGUUAGUCCUUUUAAGCUAAUGAGGAUUUUGAUGUAGAAAUGAAAUGUUGCCUAUUUAUGUUAAUUUCUACAAAUGUAUAAAGCAGUAAAUUUAGACACAAAAGGCAAACAUAAGUAAUCCUAUUUGUAAUGAUUCCAAGGUCAUGUGUUUUCCUGCCAUUAUAAGGUGGUGAGGCUCAAAACAGCUUGGUGCUGCGCAAUGAAUGUAAAAUCAUUGUGGUGAGCAUCAAAUCUAACCAAAUGAAUUUUCCCAGAUCUAAUGGUUAUAAUUCAACCCCAGUAGACGUUUAGUAGAAGUUUAGCUUUUGGGGUGUAGUUUAUUAUUGUCUCCCUGUCUGCUCCCAUGAGUUUAUCCACCAGCAGUACGUUAAGUUUUAUAAAAUCGUCAAAAAGACACAGAACUCCUUUUUUUUAAUUUAUUUAUUUAUUUUUCUCCCCAGUAGCUCCACCAGCUUGUUAAUUAAGUAGCUUAUCAAUGUCAUCGUCAAUCCCAGAGUUUCAUUGUUGACAUUGUCCAAUGCCAAUUUUGGAGACAUCACUCAACCCUAAUUUAAAUACAUUGAUUUAUUCUGCAAGUAA